GAAUCCAGAGGGGCCCGGGAGGGAGCCUGGCCUGCAGGACAGCGCUGUGUGAGGGCCCAGGGCCCAGGGAGGGGGAAGUCAGACCGUCGGAUAGUCUGGGGCAGCACCCGUGUGUGGGGCCAGGAGGCAGCAGCGGGCAGCGGAGACCGGGGCUGUGGAGAGGGCAGACGUGGGGCUGCCUGGCCAUCCUGCUCCCACGUCUACCCUGUGUGGUCACUGGGCCCGGGAGCUGGUUUCCGGAAGACUGGACGCCGCCGAGGAAGGCAGUGUCUGCCCGGGGCGCGAUCCGCGAGCAGGACUGGGGAGGCCACAGACGGCCGAGCCCAAACUUCAAGGAGGGACGUUACAAUAGGUCUGGGGGUUCCAGUCAUGCCUUGGAGCAGUUUCUGGAACUUCAAGUGAGGCUCAGAGAGGACACUUUGCCUCCGUGUGGGAUGACGUGAGAGGAUGGGGAGGGGCCGGGAAUGGGUGCCCCCAGUGCCACACCCCUGCUCCCCUGCUCCCCUCACACAGACCUCGGCAGGAGGGUGGCAGGGUGGGGGAAACGGAGUCCCGGGCACAUGAAUUCCUCCUAGGCUGGAGGCCGAGCGGAGACCGACCCCUGUCUUCUUUCCUCCCUGCUGCUGCCACCAGGCCCCUCUGACGGCAACUCCUGCCUGUCCCCAGCCCCCCACGAGGUUCCACCAGCCUCUCCCCAGGGUGGCACCCUUUCCCCCUGGGGGAUCCAGGGCCCAUCGAGGGCUGGGGGUGGGGGUGGGGUGGUUGGUGAAAAAGCCCAGACCCCAGAGCAGGAGCCCAGAGAAAGUCAGAGCACAGUGGGCCCUGGGCUCCAGGGGGCCCUGACAUGUAGGGGGGUCCUCACAUCUGUCCACCUGGCCCCAGGGCCUGUGGGGGCAGAGGGCAGUCCUGCCCACACGCUGUCACUAGGUCCUCCCCGCUGCGGGCAUUCCCAGAACUCGGUCAAAUUGUUUUCAAGGGGACGCACUCGAUUAACCAUCAACCUGGGAGAAUGACUUCUCAGUGGACUCCGGGCUGCUGGUACUUUUCCAGAGCCACUGUGCCCCAGUCCCCACCCAGUGUCCCUGGGAGAGUUCCCAAGCUGUGGCAGAAGGAGUCCAGGAACCCCACCUUUGCACCUGCGGCCUUAUGGGGGUCCCCCCACAGCACCCCGCAAGGCACCAUCCCAGUUCCCAGUUCAGACCCCUUCUCCCCAGACCUCCCGCCCCCCUCCCCCCGACCCAGGCUCAGUCCAGAGCACCCCCAGUGCCUUCCCGUACUCCCACCGCUCAGUGAUGUUCCAGAUCCCUCCUCAGGGCCUGAGGGACCCGGCCCUGGGGCUGCCCCCGACUCCCUCCCCACUGUGGACCCUUAGGUGCACACAGAUGAUACAGAGUAGGUCCAGGGGCUCUGCCUGUGGGAGGGGUGCCCCGAGCCCACACGUCAGUGCAUUUGUGCUCUCGAGCUGACCACGGAGGCUUCGGCAGGGCACCAGGGCGCAAGCCAGCUGGUUUCCGGGGAGCAGGGCAGCCGCGCGUGAGCACGUCGGUCACUAAAAGGACAUUUGGCUUCAGGCUCCUCGUGUGGACCUUUGACAGGCAGAGUGAGCCUGUGGGGCAGGCUUGCUGUGAACAGGUGCACGUUCAGGAAUGUAGGUGGGGGUGGGGAGCGCGUUCAGCACUGUUUCUCCGGGGACCAGGGCUGGCUGCGCCCAAGGCACCAAGCGGCAGACCGCACCCGGAGCCCAGCGGGCCGCGGGACGGAGCGGUGAUGCUCGCACUGUGCCCGUCUGGGUUUGCUGUGCUCCCACGGCACUUACUCGCCUGCCUUCCACGAGGGGCCACAGCUGAGCAAACGGGGGCGCGUCCAUAUGGCCGUGCUCAUAACACCCUCCACACCACAGCCCGGGGCGGCCCUCCCACGGGGGUGACCAAGCGCUCCCUGGGCACCGCUCCGUGCGGGCACCCUGUGUGCCUGACGGGACAGCAGACACCGGCCACGAUCACUGCCUGCGUCCGCGGAAGUGAGCAGGAGUGGAGAGGAGCCUGCGAGGAGCCCCAGGGACCCCACAAUCAAGGAUGGCCACGGGAGUCAGCCAGGUGCAGCAGGCGUCCUCCUGAAGAGGCAGCGCCCUCCCCCCCAGCCCCAGAUGCAGGCAUGGCAGGUGUGCCCCGCGACUCCAUCGCAGCUGCUGGAGGACGCAGAAUGGAGGUGGCUGGGGGUCAGUGACCGGGUCACGACGCCCGCGGCUAGAAGCCAGAGUGGGUCUUUAAAAGGAGCUCAUGAAGACAGAAGUUAAUUCCUUCAGGAGAGUUGCCCUGACCGAGGGGAGAGGAGACCAGAACAAGCCAGGCGACAGGCAGGUGUUGGGUCCUCAGCCCACCUGCCCCUCAGGCUGUAGGGGAGAGGCCGAGAGAGGCAGGGGAGGGGCUGCGGAGGGGCGGAGGGGGUGGCUCUGAGGGUCAAGAGCCACUCCGGGCUUCUGGAGGCUUCCGGCAGGUCUGGGGGUGUGGGCACCUUGAAGGGCUGGGCGCAGGAGGGGGGCAGUAAAUCAAGCAGGAGCUCCCAGAGCUCCUGGGGACCCUCUUUUGAGACAGAGGGUCAGAGAGCACCCCUGGGGGAGAUGCGGGGCCGGCCUGGAGCGGUAUUCAGGAAGCUUGGAGGAUGGGGACAGGAGGGUCACCUACCGCCCUCGCACUUUCACCGGGGCUGUGUCUAAGGAGCCCAAGUGUCUCUCCAGGGACAACUACAGGCUCCUUGCUGGCAUCGCGUCACGUGAGAGAAGCCAGGUCCUCCCCUCCCCCUGUCACCAUCCGGGGACUCUGUCUAGGAUCAGCCCUCGAGGCCCAUCCCUCCGGGUUCACCUUGGCCGCGGGGCAAGGCCUAACCCCGCCACAGACCUUCAACUUCAGCGAAAACCCGGCAGAAACCGUAAAACACUGGAACAGCUUUUUUGGGUCUUGGGAGAUGGAGACAGAAAGUGCCCUGUGGCAGAGAGUUUAUAAGGGCCAGAGCCACAGGCUUAAGGAAGUCCUUUGGAAAGAAUCGCCAUUGGGGUGCCCAGGGGGCUCAGCCAGUUGAGAGGCCAACUUCGGCUCGGGUCAUGAUCUCAUGGUCCGUGAGUUCCAGCCCCACGUCGGGCUCUGUGCUGACAGCUUGGAGCCUGGAGCCUGCUUCGGAUUCUGUGUCUCCCUCUCUCUCUGCCCCUCCUGCCCCUCACUCUCAAAAAUAAAACAAACGUUAAAAAUAAAAAAAAGAAAGAAUUGGCGACUGGUGCAGGCAAAAAUAACGAAUGUGGGUCUACAGGAGACAGGUCACCGUGCUGGGUGCUGGGUGCAGGUUCAGUGAUCUGCACGGGAUGUGCCGGCUGGGCAGGUCUACAAGCUCCCGUCCCAGGGCGCCUGGGGGCUCCGUCGGUGAAGGGCCCGACUCUUGGUUUUGGUUUAGGUCAUGAUCUCAGUUUGUGAGUUCAAGCCCCGAGUCAGGCUCUGUGCUGACAGAUCCUCUCUCUCUGCCCCUCACUUCUGCUCCCCCCGGCCCCCCCCCCCCCCGUGCCCUCUGUGUCUCAAAAUAAACUCACUUUAAAAACUCA